UGUUCUGUAGCGUAGUUGGUUAACGACCCUGUCAAGCGAGUUUUGGAGACGUGGGUUCAAAUCCCACCAGAAAUA
rnacentral:tRNA from 1 species